rnacentral:rRNA from 1 species
UACGGGGGGAGCAAGCGUUGUUCGGAUUUACUGGGCGUAAAGGGCGCGUAGGCGGCCACCGCAAGUCAGUUGUGAAAUCUCUGGGCUUAACCCAGAAAGGUCAACUGAUACUGCGGGGCUAGAGUGCAGAAGGGGCAACUGGAAUUCUCGGUGUAGCGGUGAAAUGCGUAGAUAUCGAGAGGAACACCUGCGGCGAAGGCGGGUUGCUGGGCUGACACUGACGCUGAUGCGCGAAAGCUAGGGGAGCGAACGAG